UAAUGACCAAAUUAAUAACUGAGACACCUGACCAGCCAAUCCCAUUUCUCAUUGACCAUCUUCAGUCCAAACAAGGACACCGUGGACAGCUUCAGAGAACUUUAUCUGGAUCUGCAGCCCUCUGGGCAGAAAGUGAAACAUCUGAACAUAAAGGAACAAGAAGGGAUUUGAGAAGCUAUGAUAAGCCUUGGCAAUUAAGUGCAAAGAAGCCAAAAAAGUCAAAAAGUGACCUUGCUGUGUCUAAUAUUUCUCCACCAUCACCAGAAUCCAAAUCAUUGUCAAGGUCAGUAGAUCAUCCUAAGUGGAACUGGCGAACUAAACCAGAAAACCGUGAUUUUGAUGAAUUGAACCACAUCCUUCAAGAGAGCAGGAAGCUGGGAAAAGCCCUUGAGAAGCUCUCUCGAAGUAUUGCAAUUUCAGAUGAACUCGAUAAGGAAACGGUGGCGUUUAACUCCUCUCUUCUGAGACCCCGUGUGAUCGGAGAAUGGAUUGGUCGAGAAGAGAACGAUGCUGAUCCGUUAGCGGCCGAAAUGCUACAGCCCCCAAUUCCCAGAAGUAAAAACGAACAAUGGGAGAGUGAAGACAGCAGCUCCAGCCCCGCAGGAAGCUUAAAGGUGGAACCCAAGACUAAGGGGUUAAAACAACAGCAACAGCAACACAAGAAGCUGCUGGCAGCAAUGCUCUCCCAGGAUUCUUUUGAGUCCGUCCACAGCCCUCCCGCGUCUGUAACAGAAGACGACAUUGAUAACGAAGACGAAGCAAUGGAAUUGCUGGAGGAUCUUGAUGAUUUAAGAAUGGAGGGAGUAACUACUCUGGUACCUUCUGGGAGCAAAUUUAACCAAGGUCGUGCUACUUACCCUGCUGAGCCUCAGGCCAAGGUCACACUGAACAUCUGUUCAAGGUGUGCCAGACUUCAAGGAGACAACCUGGCAGAAAGAACAGAAGAGACGUCACAAACACUUCAUUCUCUAGAUGAGAAAAUCCUGGAUUCUUUGAAUGCUUUACCUGGGACUGAAGAAGCAUUAAUGGAGGAUGGUGGAGAAUUUGAAAUAGCAUCUAAAUUAACAGGACCUGGAGAAGCCCCCAGUGGAGGACAGUCACUGAAAAACUACAUGGAAGAAGAUGAAUCUUUAAAGCAAUUGCAGGUGGUUCACCAACCCUGGAUUUUGCCAAGUGACACAGAAAGUGAAGGAGUGGAAGGAGAACAAGAGAAACGUUCUACUGACCUUCUCCUUUGUGUUCCGUGCUCUUCUUGUCCUACUCUCGUCUACUCUGGAUUUUCCACUCUGAACAAAAUUGAACCAGCCUGAGACAUACCAACUGAAACCAGGGCAUUAAGGUCUUCUGCCAGUUGCAAUACUGAAGUCCUAAAGAAGCUAACUGCCAUGAUUCCCAGACUGCCCAAAUAAAGGAUCUGCAGCUAUAGAGCUCUUCUCCAUGACAUUUUCACAGAACACACUAUUUAAAGAUUUACAUCAUUUCAUCACUCCAGGACUCUGUUCCCUGUUGAAAGGAAACUUUCUAGCUUAAGACACUGAGGAACAGGAUGAUGCCUGGAUUUCUAAGAGGAGUCCUGGCAUGAGCCCUAUCCAUCUUUGCCCAGGGCAGAAGGAGAUGAUCCUGGGCUCCCACUGCCCUUAGUUCUUCAAGGGCCUAGACUGAGGACUUCAGGGCAUAAGUGAAAGUCUUUAAUCAUCCUGACUAAAUGCAAGUAUAUAUUCUAUAUGUCUUUAAAUUUCAGUAUCACAGUUAAAAUCAAAUGAACUUGAAUGUCAGGAAGAAUUAGAACCAAAUCCCAGCUCUUUUGUUCACUAACAGUGUGAACUAAUGACCAAGCAAUUAAGCCUUUCUGCCACAUAGUAAGUGCUCAAUCAAUGUUAGUUAGCUAUUGGUUUGAUAUUUUUACUCGAGGUAAGGACUGGAUCCUUAAAAAUAAGGUGAGGCAUAAAAAAAACUACCCUAAAAGCUUUUUGGUUUUUAACAACUCAUCCUAAACUCUGUAGCUUAAAACACCAACCUGAUUUUUUGUUUAAGUUACAGGUUCCUUUUCUGACACCUCUGUUUUAAAUAUUUCCAGUCUUUUUCCUAUCUUUUUUCUAGGUCUGUUCCAUACACCCUCUGUGUGUAUGUUUUUGUUUCUAUGAGGCUUUUUUCUGCUUUUUACUUUUUUCCUUUUCUAGGUUCCCUGACCUUCUAAGGUGUUCGCCAGGUCCCCUUUCCUACCUCCACCAACAUUGCCAUGCUCUCUAGAAUUCCACCUGACACCUCACACCAGGUACCGUAGGAUGGUAGCACAGACGCAUACAGCCUCCCGCCCUCCUGCAAUCUGCAGAUUCAGAAACCAUCAGCAAACAGGAUUUGAUAAGCAUCUAUUACCUGCGUAUUAGUAAUCAUUUCUACACUCUGAGACUAGAAUUCAUAUUUUCAGCCAAUGAAUUCAGAUGUCAACACAUAGCUGUACUUAGCCAAUGUGAAUUUAAUUCUAGAUCAGCUAAAAAAGAGAUUAAAAAAUCCCCUUCUCUAAGCAGAAACAGUUUCUUGCAAAAUCACAUAAUUUUAAUAAUCUCUAGGCUUAUAGGUGGAAUGCUUACUACAUUGCCUACUCUACCGGAAUAUGAUUAACUCAAAAUACCACAUCUAUUUGGAUAUCUAUGGCUAAUUUUUUUUUAAUUUCUUGUUUAUCAAAACAUAUUUUGUCUUUCUCUACUGCUAAUCCCUGCUCAUAAUUGCUUGCCCAUACAUCAGAGUUCAUCAAUUCAAAAGAUUUUUUUUUACUUUCUAGAUCCCUAAAAAGAAAUUAUAUUGGAAAUAAAUGAUACAGCAUUAUAGCUUUUGCCUACCUACAAAGUUGGAAAAUUUUUUCACCCAGAGAGAGCUCUCUAGCAUCUUCUACUUCUUACCUUUGUAGUUAAUGACAAAUUGCUUAACUUUCCAGGAUCCUGUCACUUCAUUUGCCAAGAGGAGUUAAUGAUAUCUAGCUGGUAGGGGUGUUGUAAAGAUCAGAGCCAAUGGAUAUGAAACACUAAGCCCAAAACCUCCCAUUUAAUAGGUGCUUCACAAAAGGAGGCAGUGGUAGUGAUGAUGAUUAUGAGGAAAUUGUGGAAAUAGAGGAGAUGAAGGAAAUGGAGAAGAAGGAUAUGUUAGUUUUCUAUUGCUACGGUAACAAAUUGCCACAAACCUCCUGCCAGAACUUCUAGGACUUAGUGGAUGUCUUUGCUUCCAGUCUCACAAGGCCAAAAUCAAGAUGUCAGCUGGGCUUUGUUCGCUCUGGAGACUUUAGGGAAGAAUCUAUCUCCUUGCCUUUUCCAACUUCUAGAGACUCCUGCAUAUCUUGGCUCAUGGCACAUAUACAU